rnacentral:lncRNA from 1 species
CCGAACUCAGCUCUUCCAGCCGAAGUUUCAAACAGUGAUUUCGACAUUGUUGCACGAGGUGGCCGUGUUAAACAGGACCCCAACUUUGAAGUCACGAAGGGCUUAGUCGUAUCCAUACAUGUCUUAUACUUGUUGCUGGAAUAGUGUCAUUCUAGGACGAGUUAAACGUGAAGUUGUAUUCGGUGCUACGAUAGGCUUGACUCGUAGUUCCAGGCAGCAGCUGAAAAUGGGAACAUUUCGAUUGUCGGCCGAACAUUUGGAAAUCUCAAGUUAUGCGUUCUAAAUCAAGCUUUGCUAUUGCAGGUUAAAUGGACAAGACGACGACAGUGAGGAAUUCGAAUCCAGUGGCCAGAUGAUGAGAGUUUCGGCUCAAGAAUGUACGGCACAACACGUUUCACAUUCUCUUUGUCGGUACAGAAUUAUUCUGGUUUGUCUUUCAAUCCUUUCUUAAAAGUUUUUUCAGUUCUUUUGUGUUCGCGAUUCUCUAUUGAAAAAUAAAUAAAAAUAAAAAUAACAACUCCAGUUGGUUGUGAAAGUGUGGUCGAACCAACAUUCGAUGACGACAUGAAAUCACAAUUUAACGCACUCAUAAAACCAGAAGCCCACUAACCUUGAUGACAUGAUUGUGAAGCAUGGGAUUGUGUUUAGUUUGAUCAACAUCAUGUAAUAGGCGUACCAAUAAGUAUAAGUAUUGUUUGUGGCUAUGAAGAG